UGGUGCAUACAGAGGGUUGCCAAGCCGCGAGGUGGAGCUAAUCCCAGAAAAUGCAUCGUAGUCCGGAUCGUAGUCUGCAACUCGACUACGUGAAGCUGGAAUCGCUAGUAAUCGCGGAUCAGCAUGCCGCGGUGAAUACGUUCCCGGGUCUUGUACACACCGCCCGUCACACCAUGGGAGUGGGCUUUACCAGAAGUAGUUAGCCUAACCGCAAGGAGGGCGAUUACCACGGUAGGGUUCAUGACUGGGG
rnacentral:rRNA from 1 species